rnacentral:rRNA from 1 species
CCUACGGGUGGCAGCAGUGAGGAAUAUUGGUCAAUGGGCGAGAGCCUGAACCAGCCAAGUCGCGUGAGGGAGUACUGCCCUAUGGGUUGUAAACCUCUUUUGUCGGGGAGCAAAAGCCGGACGUGUCCGGCUGUGAGAGUACCCGAAGAAAAAGCAUCGGCUAACUCCGUGCCCGCAGCCGCGGUCAUACGUAGGAUGCGAGUGUUAUCCGGAUUUAUUGGGUUUAAAGGGUGCGCAGGCGGAUUUUUAAGUCAGCGGGCAAAUCGUGGGGCUCAACCCCAUCCAGCCGUUGAAACUGGGGAUCUAGAGUGUGCGAGAGGUAUGCGGAAUGCGUGGUGUAGCGGUGAAAUGCAUAGAUAUCACGCAGAACCCCGAUUGCGAAGGCAGCAUACCGGUGCACAACUGACGCUCAGGCACGAAAGCGUGGGUAUCGAACAGGAUUAGAUACCCCAGUAGUC